GAAUUUCCGCAAAGUCUUACUUGUUCAGACGAAGAAGUUUGUUGCUUCUGGAAAGCUCGUCAAAGUGAAAGCCUCUUUUAAGCUGCCUUCGGCAUCUGCCGCAGCUAAGAAACCGGCCGCCGUAGCUAAGAAGCCUGCCGCCGCGAAGCCUAAAUCUGCAACUACCACUGCCGCCUCAAAGUCCAAGCCGAAGGCGACUAAAACCGCGUCGAAACCGAAAGCCAAAGCCAAAGUUGGAACGCCUGUGAAGGCAAAGGCUAAAGUUGCGGCGAAACCGAAGGCAACUACAACUAAGGCCAAAGCUAAACCAGCGGCUAAGCCAACUAAGGUAGCGAAGACGGCGAAGAAGAGUUCGCCAGGGAAGAAAGUAAAGGUUCCAGCAAAGAAGACAGUCGCUGUCAAGAAGCCGAAGAGUGUUAAAUCUC
rnacentral:lncRNA from 1 species